rnacentral:misc_RNA from 1 species
GGUCGACCACCAUACUCUCACUUGGAAGGCAUGCAAGCAUUGUUUAGGAUUGGCAAGGGCGAACCUCCUCCUGUUCCUGAUUCGUUAUCAAAAGAUGCCCAGGAUUUCAUCUUUAAAUGCUUACAAGUCAAUUCAAAUGACCGGGCUACAGCAACCCAACUGUUGAGCCAUCCGUUUGUGAAGAGACCACUUCAAACUUUCUUGAUCCCCCCUUCUCCUCGUUAAAACAGCUAACACGCAUGAAAAAUUUGGCAACCUCUGAGG